AACGAACGCUGGCGGCAGGCCUAAUACAUGCAAGUCGAACGGGCGUAGCAAUACGUCAGUGGCGGACGGGUGAGUAACACGUGGGAACAUGCCUUUCGGUUCGGAAUAACGCAGGGAAACUUGCGCUAAUACCGGAUGACCCGGCGACGGAAAGAUUUAUCGCCGAAAGAUUGGCCCGCGUAGGAUUAGCUAGUUGGUGAGGUAACGGCCCACCAAGGCGACGAUCCUUAGCUGGUUUGAGAGAACGAUCAGCCACACUGGGACUGAGACACGGCCCAGACUCCUACGGGAGGCAGCAGUAGGGAAUCUUGGACAAUGGGGGAACCCGUANAUCCAGCCAUGCCGCGUGAGUGAUGAAGGCCUUCGGUUGUAAAC
rnacentral:rRNA from 1 species